CCCAGGUGCUGCAGGUACACAAAGUUUCAAAGCCUCUGAGCCAAUUAGCCCACUUAAAUGAUACUGCUCGCCACGCUUAAUUGUCAAAUUACCACACUUUUCUGAAAAGUAUGCAAAGCUCUGAAGCAAGCAUCUAAUGCCACAGAGGCGGGGCGGGGGGGGGGGGGGGGCGGAAAUGAAAGGACCCUAACUCCUGGCCCUAACCUUACAAUUUAGUGGGUCCAAAGAGUUAAGAAACGGAUUCUGAACCAAUAAGGAGACAGAUCACUUUAGGUUAUUGUGGAAAGAAUGGACUAUAGGAGCAUGAAAGGAGAAAGACCAAAUUAGAAGUGUACUACAGUAAUAGAGAUGACAAAUAAUACUGCUAGACACAGAAGAAGGACAUUUUGGAGACAGAAUAACAGAACUUGCUGGUGAACUAAAUAUGACAGACUAAGGAAAAGGAAGGAAUCAAGAACUCCUAGACUUUGGAAUAUAUUGGGUAAAUGUGGACUACACUGGAUAAAUGGUGCUGUUUACUGAGAUAAAUGGAGAAGGCAAAAGAGAAGCUCAGAAGACUGGAGCUUUGGGAGAGGUCAGAAUUGGAGAUAGAAACUUCUAAAACAGAUUUUCCUUCUAGUCUUUCUUACUCUGUGGUGCCUACUAUUUCCUAUUGGUAGACUAAAAAUAAAUGUUCAGAUUUGAA